UACGGAGGAUGCGAGCGUUAUCCGGAUUUAUUGGGUUUAAAGGGUGCGUAGGCGGGACCUUAAGUCAGCGGUAAAAUUGCGGUGCUCAACGCCGUAGAGCCGUUGAAACUGGCAGUCUUGAGAUGUCGAGAGGUAUGCGGAAUGCGCAGUGUAGCGGUGAAAUGCAUAGAUAUCGCGCAGAACUCCGAUUGCGAAGGCAGCAUGCCGGCUCCACACUGACGCUGAGGCACGAAAGCGUGGGUAUCGAACAGG
rnacentral:rRNA from 1 species